UACGGGGGGGGCAAGCGUUGUUCGGAAUUACUGGGCGUAAAGGGCUCGUAGGCGGCCAACUAAGUCAGACGUGAAAUCCCCAGGCUCAACCUGGGAACUGCGUCUGAUACUGGAUGGCUUGAAUCCGGGAGAGGGAUGCAGAAUUCCAGGUGUAGCGGUGAAAUGCGUAGAUAUCUGGAGGAAUACCGGUGGCGAAGGCGGCAUCCUGGACCGACAUUGACGCUGAGUGAGCGAAAGCUAGGGGAGCAAACGGG
rnacentral:rRNA from 1 species